UACAUGUGGGGCAAGCGUUGUUCGGAAUUACUGGGCAUAAAGGGUGCGUAGGUGGUUUGUUAAGUCAGGGGUGAAAUCCCGCGGCCCAACCGUGGAACUGCCUUUGAUACUGGCGAACUUGAGUGCGUGAGGGGUAGGGGGAACGAGCAGUGUAGCGGUGAAAUGCGUAGAUAUUGCUCGGAAGGCCAGAGCCGAAGGGGCCCUACUGGUGCGCAACUGACACUGAGGCACGAAAGCGUGGGGAGCAAACAGGAUUAGAUACCCUGGUAGUCCACGCCGUAAACUAUGAGCACUAGAUGGAUGCCGAGCUAUCGGUGUCUGUCGGAGGCAAUUUGGUAAGUGCUCCGCCUGGGGAGUAUGGUCGCAAGGCUG
rnacentral:rRNA from 1 species